AAAAUAAUAAUAAUAACUAGUGAUCCUAAUUGUUCGCGAACAAUUAGAGGGCUUCCCACCUUCUAGCGGUUUUUCAGUAGUGUUGAAAUGCUAAAAGCACCCCCACCCUACCCCACCCCACCCUCACCAAAAAAAAAAAAAAAAAUGGAUUUGGCUAGAAAAGAAAUUCAAAUUUGCCGCCUUGAGUGUUGUAGUGUUGGAGAUUAAGGCCUUGGUUUCGCACGAUAGUACCGGUCAAAUAUUUGGAAAAAAAGGGUGCGAGUGUUGCAUAGCCGGCACAUAUCAGGUAAAAGUGUAAUGGGACUUGUGCAGGUGUUUGGGGUGACUUUAGACCUGUUAGAUGUGAUAUUUGGAGGUGCAAAGAAACCGGAUGUGCCAUUUCCCUAGAUUGUAGUAACUGCUGGUGCAUGCUGGGAGUCUAUACAAGCCUCAUGUUGUCAGAUGUUGUGAAGAUGCACUGGAUUUGACCGUGUGUGUUGUGGAUUGUGGAAUUGAAUAUACAGUUUGUAAUGGCUCAUCCUAUGUGUUCUAAUUCACGGAGACAAUGUCUUUCAGUCAUUUCACCCAAGGAGGCAUGCGUAUACGGAUUGAUAGGCUUUGACAACAAACAACCAAAAUGGCGGCCGGUGAAUUAGAAAGUGUCUGAGUGCAUGUAGGAUAUCUGAACGGAGAAUAGGAGUACUGCAUCCCAUCUGAUCCUGCAGUCAUUUCACCCAAGGAGGCAUGCAUAUACGGAUUUAUAGGCUUUGACAACAAACAACCAAAAUGGCGGCCGGUGAAUUAGAAAGUGUCUGAGUGCAUGUAGGAUAUCUGAACGGAGAAUUAGGAGUACUGCAUCCCAUCUGAUCCUGCAGGUAAGUGUUUAUUUGUUUACAAUGACAGUCAGGAUGGAAUGUCAAUGAGUUCAACUGUCAAGUAAAGUUGCAUCAUGA